rnacentral:rRNA from 1 species
GGUCAAGUGAAGAAGCGCAUACGGUGGAUGCCUUGGCAGUCAGAGGCGAUGAAAGACGUGGUAGCCUGCGAAAAGCUUCGGGGAGUCGGCAAACAGACUUUGAUCCGGAGAUGUCUGAAUGGGGGAACCCAGCCAUCAUAAGAUGGUUAUCUUACGCUGAAUACAUAGGCGUAAGAGGCGAACCAGGGGAACUGAAACAUCUAAGUACCCUGAGGAAAAGAAAUCAACCGAGAUUCCCUUAGUAGUGGCGAGCGAACGGGGACUAGCCCUUAAGUGGCUUUGAGAUUAGCGGAACGUUCUGGAAAGUACGGCCAUAGUGGGUGAUAGCCCUGUACGCGAAAAUCUCUUAGUCAUGAAAUCGAGUAGGACGGAGCACGAGAAACUUUGUCUGAAUAUGGGGGGACCAUCCUCCAAGGCUAAAUACUACUGACUGACCGAUAGUGAACUAGUACCGUGAGGGAAAGGCGAAAAGAACCCCGGAGAGGGGAGUGAAAUAGAUCCUGAAACCGUAUGCGUACAAGCAGUGGGAGCCUACUUUGUUAGGUGACUGCGUACCUUUUGUAUAAUGGGUCAGCGACUUAUUUUCAGUGGCGAGCUUAACCGAAUAGGGGAGGCGUAGCGAAAGCGAGUCUUAAUAGGGCGUCUAGUCGCUGGGAAUAGACCCGAAACCGGGCGAUCUAUCCAUGGGCAGGUUGAAGGUUGGGUAACACUAACUGGAGGACCGAACCGACUACCGUUGAAAAGUUAGCGGAUGACCUGUGGAUCGGAGUGAAAGGCUAAUCAAGCUCGGAGAUAGCUGGUUCUCCUCGAAAGCUAUUUAGGUAGCGCCUCAUGUAUCACUGUAGGGGGUAGAGCACUGUUUCGGCUAGGGGGUCAUCCCGACUUACCAAACCGAUGCAAACUCCGAAUACCUACAAGUGCCGAGCAUGGGAGACACACGGCGGGUGCUAACGUCCGUCGUGAAAAGGGAAACAACCCAGACCGUCAGCUAAGGUCCCAAAGUUAUGGUUAAGUGGGAAACGAUGUGGGAAGGCUUAGACAGCUAGGAGGUUGGCUUAGAAGCAGCCACCCUUUAAAGAAAGCGUAAUAGCUCACUAGUCGAGUCGGCCUGCGCGGAAGAUGUAACGGGGCUCAAACCAUACACCGAAGCUACGGGUAUCACGUAAGUGAUGCGGUAGAGGAGCGUUCUGUAAGCCUGUGAAGGUGAGUUGAGAAGCUUGCUGGAGGUAUCAGAAGUGCGAAUGCUGACAUGAGUAACGACAAUGGGUGUGAAAAACACCCACGCCGAAAGACCAAGGUUUCCUGCGCAACGUUAAUCGACGCAGGGUUAGUCGGUCCCUAAGGCGAGGCUGAAAAGCGUAGUCGAUGGAAAACAGGUUAAUAUUCCUGUACUUCUGGUUAUUGCGAUGGAGGGACGGAGAAGGCUAGGCCAGCUUGGCGUUGGUUGUCCAAGUUUAAGGUGGUAGGCUGAGAUCUUAGGUAAAUCCGGGAUCUUAAGGCCGAGAGCUGAUGACGAGCUAACUUUUAGUUAGCGAAGUGGUUGAUGCCAUGCUUCCAAGAAAAGCUUCUAAGCUUCAGGUAACCAGGAACCGUACCCCAAACCGACACAGGUGGUUGGGUAGAGAAUACCAAGGCGCUUGAGAGAACUCGGGUGAAGGAACUAGGCAAAAUGGCACCGUAACUUCGGGAGAAGGUGCGCCGGUGAGGGUGAAGGACUUGCUCCGUAAGCUCAUGCCGGUCGAAGAUACCAGGCCGCUGCGACUGUUUAUUAAAAACACAGCACUCUGCAAACACGAAAGUGGACGUAUAGGGUGUGACGCCUGCCCGGUGCCGGAAGGUUAAUUGAUGGGGUUAGCUAACGCGAAGCUCUUGAUCGAAGCCCCGGUAAACGGCGGCCGUAACUAUAACGGUCCUAAGGUAGCGAAAUUCCUUGUCGGGUAAGUUCCGACCUGCACGAAUGGCGUAACGAUGGCGGCGCUGUCUCCACCCGAGACUCAGUGAAAUUGAAAUCGCUGUGAAGAUGCAGUGUAUCCGCGGCUAGACGGAAAGACCCCGUGAACCUUUACUAUAGCUUUGCACUGGACUUUGAAUUUGCUUGUGUAGGAUAGGUGGGAGGCUUUGAAGCGUGGACGCCAGUCUGCGUGGAGCCAACCUUGAAAUACCACCCUGGCAACUUUGAGGUUCUAACUCAGGUCCGUUAUCCGGAUCGAGGACAGUGUAUGGUGGGUAGUUUGACUGGGGCGGUCUCCUCCUAAAGAGUAACGGAGGAGUACGAAGGUGCGCUCAGACCGGUCGGAAAUCGGUCGUAGAGUAUAAAGGCAAAAGCGCGCUUGACUGCGAGACAGACACGUCGAGCAGGUACGAAAGUAGGUCUUAGUGAUCCGGUGGUUCUGUAUGGAAGGGCCAUCGCUCAACGGAUAAAAGGUACUCCGGGGAUAACAGGCUGAUACCGCCCAAGAGUUCAUAUCGACGGCGGUGUUUGGCACCUCGAUGUCGGCUCAUCACAUCCUGGGGCUGAAGCCGGUCCCAAGGGUAUGGCUGUUCGCCAUUUAAAGUGGUACGCGAGCUGGGUUUAGAACGUCGUGAGACAGUUCGGUCCCUAUCUGCCGUGGACGUUUGAGAUUUGAGAGGGGCUGCUCCUAGUACGAGAGGACCGGAGUGGACGAACCUCUGGUGUUCCGGUUGUCACGCCAGUGGCAUUGCCGGGUAGCUAUGUUCGGAAUAGAUAACCGCUGAAAGCAUCUAAGCGGGAAACUAGCCUCAAGAUGAGAUCUCACUGGGACCUUGAGUCCCCUGAAGGGCCGUCGAAGACUACGACGUUGAUAGGUUGGGUGUGUAAGCGCUGUGAGGCGUUGAGCUAACCAAUACUAAUUGCCCGUGAGGCUUGACCAU